UUUAAGAGUUUGAUCCUAGCUCAGGAUGAACGCUGGCGGCGUGGAUAAGGCAUGCAAGUCAAACGGGUGGUGCAUCAGUGGCGAACGAGGUAGUAACACGUGGGUUACAUCCCCCAAAGUCAGGAAUAACUAAUCGAAAGAUUAGCUAAUACUUGAUAAUCUCUUCGGAGUAAAGAUUUAUCGCUUUGGGAAUGGCCUGCGGAGUAUCAGCUAGUUGGUAGUGUAAUGGACUACCAAGGCUAUGACGCUUAGGGGAGCUGAGAGGCUGACCCCCACCGAUGGAACUGAGACACGGUCCAUACACCUACGGGUGGCCGCAGUCGAGAAUCUUCCGCAAUGGACGAAAGUCUGACGGAGCGACGCCGCGUGAUGGAUGAAGUCCCUAGGGACGUAAACAUCUUUUAUGAGGGAGAAAGUUUAUUGAUAGUACCUCACGAAUAAGGGGUUGCUAAACUCGUGCCAGCAGCAGCGGUAAUACGAGUGCCCCGAGCGUUAUCCAGAAUUAUUGGGCGUAAAGGGUGUGUAGGUGGCAGUGUUAGUCAAACGUUAAAGCCCGGAGCUUAACUCCGGAAGUGCGUUUGAAACGGCACAGCUAGAGGAUGCGAGGGAUGAAUGGAACUCAUGGAGUAGGGGUGAAAUCCGUUGAUAUCAUGGGGAACACCAAAAGCGAAGGCAGUUCAUUGGCGCACUCCUGACACUGAAACACGAAAGCGUGGGUAGCGAAUGGGAUUAGAUACCCCAGUAGUCCACGCCCUAAACGAUGACAACUAGCUUUUCGGAGUAUCGACCCUCUGAGAGGCGAAGCUAACGCGUUAAGUUGUCCGCCUGGGUAGUACGACCGCAAGGUUAAAACUCAAAGGAAUAGACGGGGACUUGCACAAGCAGAGGAUUAUGUGGUUUAAUUCGA
rnacentral:rRNA from 1 species